UCGGCCAUUUGAUUCCCUUGUUUUCGGUUAAUUAGUUUGUUUCCUUUAUUUGUUAAGCCUUUGUUUCUUUAUUUUUAUGUUUUUAUUUUGGGAAAUUAUUAUAAUUUAUAUAAUUCGAUUUUUUUUUAUUUUUGUUUCGGUUUUGUUUUUGAUUUAUUUGUUUUUAAAUUUAAUUAUUGAUUUGUUACCAAUAAUUUAGUGUUUCUUGUUAUAAUAAUUCUAGGUUUGUUUCUAGCUAUUUUUUUCUAAAUUAAUAUUAUUAUUUUUUUCAAAAUUAUUUCUCCUAAAUUUUGUGUUUAUUUGUUUUUUAUUAAUUUGUUUCAACUAAUUUUGUGUUUCUCCUUAAAAUAAUACUAGAUUUGUUUUUGGAUAUUAUUUUUUAAUUUUUUCGAAAAUUAGAUUUUUUUAUAAGAUAAAAAUAAUAUUAUUUAUUUU
rnacentral:lncRNA from 1 species